rnacentral:rRNA from 1 species
CCUACGGGAGGCAGCAGUGGGGAAUCUUGUGCAAUGGACGAAAGUCUGACACAGCCACGCCGCGUGCGGGAAGAAGGCCUUCGGGUUGUAAACCGCUUUCAGCAGGAACGAAAAUGACGGUACCUGCAGAAGAAGAUGCGGCCAACUACGUGCCAGCAGCCGCGGUGAUACGUAGGCAUCAAGCGUUGUCCGGAUUUAUUGGGCGUAAAGAGCUCGUAGGCGGUUCAGCAAGUCGGGUGUGAAAACUCUGGGCUUAACCCAGAGCCUGCACUCGAAACUGCUGUGACUAGAGUUCGGUAGGGGAGCAGGGAAUUCCUAGUGUAGCGGUGAAAUGCGCAGAUAUUAGGAGGAACACCAAUGGCGAAGGCACUGCUCUGGGCCGAUACUGACGCUGAGGAGCGAGAGCGUGGGUAGCAAACAGGAUUAGAUACCCUGGUAGUCCACGCCGUAAACGAUGGGCACUAGGUGUGGGUCUCUAACCAACGAGAUCUGCGCCGUCGCUAACGCAUUAAGUGCCCCGCCUGGGGAGUACGGUCGCAAGACUAAAACUUAAAGGAAAUUGACGG